UAUGAACGCUGGCGGCGUGCCUAAUACAUGCGAGUCGAGCGAACAGACGAGGAGCUUGCUCCUCUGACGUUAGCGGCGGACGGGUGAGUAACACGUGGAUAACCUACCUAUAAGACUGGGAUAACUUCGGGAAACCGGAGCUAAUACCGGAUAACAUGUUGAACCGCAUGGUUCAACAGUGAAAGACGGUCUUGCUGUCACUUAUAGAUGGAUCCGCGCCGCAUUAGCUAGUUGGUAAGGUAACGGCUUACCAAGGCAACGAUGCGUAGCCGACCUGAGAGGGUGAUCGGCCACACUGGAACGGAGACACGGUCCAGACUCCUACGGGAGGCAGCAGUAGGGAAUCUUCCGCAAUGGGCGAAAGCCUGACGGAGCAACGCCGCGUGAGUGAAGAAGGUCUUCGGAUCGUAAAACUCUGUUAUUAGGGAAGAACAAAUGUGUAAGUAACUAUGCACGUCUUGACGGUACCUAAUCAGAAAGCCACGGCUAACUACGUG
rnacentral:rRNA from 1 species